AAGAAAACUUCUAAAUCUCCUAAACAGACUCCUAUAACCGAAGAGAACCUGCCUGAGAACCAGAGAACUAUCAACCUGGUUUUGAGGAUGCGAAACCAGAAGAGAGAACUCAAUGAUAUCAGAUUUGAGUUCCAACCAACCAAAGAUUCUGCUGAGGGUAUAGCCAAUGAAUUAUUAUCUGCUGGACUUAUUAUGGGAGAUGAUCUAGUUGCUAUGGCAGCUAACCUGGAUAAGCUGGUGACCGCUCCCCCUGUCAACAAGAAUGUCACCUUCAGGAUCUCGGCCGGGAUAAAUUCGUCUGAAACGCCGGACGAAAAGGCCUUGUUAGGUUUUGCCCAAUUGAGUAUAUCUGAUUGAUUUGCCAUAUCGGUGAGAACGAUUGAUUUGACCGUGAUCAAUUAGAACACAAGAGAUUAGAAGAAAUAUCCGAUUUGAAAACUAGUGGACUACUUUCCUAGGGUUUGAAAGAAAGAUGCCAUCUCACUACCACCAUUUACAAAUAUUAGCACUAUUCCCUUAUUAUAUACAGUGAGACCCAUUAAACUAUGGAAUACGAAGACGAUUUAAGUUUUGGUUUCAAAUAGUAAAAUAAAUAAAAAAUCACACCAAUUUUGCAUUUUACAUUGAUCCAUUUCACUUGAUAUCAACUUCUAAUACACAAAAAAAUUUGUGGUUCCAUUGUAUAUGAUAAAACCCCAGUUUAAUAUGUAAUAAAUAAAUGUAAUUUCUUUAUUAUCAUUGUUAACUCGGUCAUAGAAAAACCCUAUUUCUUGUUGAGAGUUAAGAUGUUGGAAUAAUUAGCUUGGUCCAAUAGAAAGCCUUCAUUUUAUGGUCAAAGUCAACAAACCUUCUUUUUUUAUGUUAUUAUAUUUUUGUUUAUUGAUUGUUGAUUUUAUAUAAACCUAAUUUCAACGAUAAUCUUGUUAUUUUCUCCCAAUUUCAAUAAAAACAAAUUAAAUUUUUAGAUAUAUAUAAAAUGUGAUAAGCCAUUAUUAAAAUUGUCAAAUUAAAUUUUUACAUUUUUUUAAACACAAAAUUAUAGAAUUGGUUUUCAUUGUUUACAUUUUCUUGAUGCAAAAUACCCUUGAGAUGCAAUGGAGAGGGGGGAGGGAUCUGCUUUCAACUGAACACUGAACAGUAUUUUUCAAGGCACAGUAUGUUUACUUGUGUACAGUACAUGGUUUUUUAAUUUUGUACAUCAAUCUUGUACACUGUACACUGUACAAUGUACAUAAAUCAUCACUUAGGUUUCAUCAUUUGACCCGGAUCUUGAUUUUUGUCAACUAAUUUGUGAGAAUUAGAAGUAAAUAUAUCCCUCAAGCCUUUUAACCUUGCAAAAUAGAUACUAUUAAAAGAGGUACAAUACAGUUUAUUAAUGAAAGGGUCUGAGGGUCUGAAAGGCUCCCCUCCCUUCAGCAAGUUUUGGUUUUUCAAAUAAACUCGUUCUACUGCGAAGAAAAUAACUUUGUUAUUGCGCUACUCAAACUUGAAAUCUUAAAUACAUCACUGAAAAUUCAUCAAAUCAAUUUUCAGUUUAACAUAUGUGUUUUUUGAAAUGUCUUUAACAAAUUUUCAAGGUUACUGCUACAUCAAAACUAAAAGCAACGUUAAAAG